CGUGGUGACGCGGAAUCUGAAGGAAGCGGGCGGCAAACUUCCGAUCUGAUUCAUAGGAGGCUAGGUAUCACUGGGUGAGUUUGCACAACAAAACAAAGCCCUUUCUGCCGAAGGUGAUACAGAGUAAAUGAAGCAGAUGGAUGGAAGGAAAGAUU
rnacentral:ncRNA from 1 species